rnacentral:piRNA from 1 species
UCAGUGUGUCUUUGCAAGUGUGCCAUU